ACAUUAAUUUUAUGAUGAUGAUGAUAAUGGUGGUGGUAGUAGUGAUAAUAUAUAAUCUAAUGCAUUUUUUCGUUAUAGUGCAAAGGGUUCAGACUGUGGUCUAGUGAAUGUCAACAUCCCAACUAACGGCGCAGAGAUCGGAGGAGCUUUUGGUGGUGAAAAACAAACUGGUGGCGGACGAGAGUCUGGUAGUGAUGCCUGGAAAUCUUACAUGAGGAGAUCAACAUGCACCAUUAACUACAGCAAAGAUCUACCUCUUGCUCAAGGAAUUAAAUUUGGUUAAGCACACCUCCACUUGCUACUUACAAAGUAAGCAACAUAUUUUACAAAAAGAGUAGAAAACCAGGCCACGGCUAUAUUGUGCACAAAAAUGUUUGAAAAAUAGCUGGACUUUCGUCACCUAGUGAUAGAAUUGUUUUAAUUUAAACAGUUUUCAUACGAGUUGCAAUUGAAAAUAAUGCACUUUGAAAUGCACUGUGGUUGGUUGGUAUAGUAUUUGCUAGGUGUUGGAAACCAUUUGAGAGUUGAGAACUGUGGUAUCUGUUUCGCAGGCUAUGUCUGACGCUAAUGGAAAUCUAACGUAUUGAAUACACUGCGUACUAAAUAUAUUCCUUAACACUAAUAAAAAGCACUGUUUUUCAAA